rnacentral:rRNA from 1 species
GAUGAACGCGUGGCGGCGUGCUUAACACAUGCAAGUCGAACGAAGCGAUUUAAACGAGAAGUUUCUUCGGAUUGACGUUUAUCUGACUUAGUGGCGGACGGGUGAGUAACGCGUGGAUAACCUGCCUGUAUCUGGGGGAUAACAGUUAGAAAUGACUGCUAAUACCGCAUAAGCGCACGACACCGCAUGGUGAUGUGUGAAAAGCCUUGUGUGGAUACAGAUGGAUCCGCGUUAGAUUAGCCAGUUGGCGGGGUAACGGCCCACCAAAGCGACGAUCUAUAGCCGGCCUGAGAGGGCGACCGGCCACAUUGGGACUGAGACACGGCCCAA